rnacentral:rRNA from 1 species
GAUGAACGCUGGCGGCGUGCCUAAUACAUGCAAGUCGAGCGAACAGACGAGGAGCUUGCCCCUCUGACGUUAGCGGCGGACGGGUGAGUAACACGUGGAUAACCUACCUAUAAGACUGGGAUAACUUCGGGAAACCGGAGCUAAUACCGGAUAAUAUAUUGAACCGCAUGGUUCAAUAGUGAAAGACGGUUUUGCUGUCACUUAUAGAUGAAUCCGCGCCGCAUUAGCUAGUUGGUAAGGUAACGGCUUACCAAGGCAACGAUGCGUAGCCGACCUGAGAGGGUGAUCGGCCACACUGGAACUGAGACACGGUCCAGACUCCUACGGGAGGCAGCAGUAGGGAAUCUUCCGCAAUGGGCGAAAGCCUGACGGAGCAACGCCGCGUGAGUGAUGAAGGUCUUCGGAUCGUAAAACUCUGUUAUUAGGGAAGAACAAAUGUGUAAGUAACUAUGCACGUCUUGACGGUACCUAAUCAGAAAGCCACGGCUAACUACGUG